UAUAAAUAUUUUGCCUGCAUGAACUAGAUGUUCAAUGUCAAAGAAUAUAUUACCAUAUUUUCCAAAACCAUUGUUUUCCCAUUAAAAUGACUAAAAUUUCUUCCCCAUAUUUUUAGCUAAAAAAUAAUUAUAUCUUAACAGUCUUCAAUAUUGUAUCUAAGACACUGUAUAUAUAGAAACAAGAUAUUCCAGACAGACACAUUUAUAUUUACAUAUAAAUCUAUCUAUCUAUCUAUCUAUCUAUCUGUACAUAUAUAGAUACACACAUAUGCAUGAAUACUUUUCGGGGUACAUUAAAACAAACUAAUUAAAAUAAGUAAACAAAAAUUUUUGCUAUCCAGAUUUAUUUUAUGACAAAAGAAGCACUGAUUCUUAUGUGAGUGUUAACAAGCACUUUUGAAAGGCAAAAGAAGAAUUCCCUUCACUCUUCCAAAUUUUAAGAGCUGGACCAGAGUUAGGUUAGAUCAGAAUGUGUCUUCCAGAUACUCCUCUCUGUCUUUCUUGACCAUGGAGGAAGACUAAAGUGUAGCAGCUAUUUCCAAAUUGAAGAUGGACAAUGUGAGAUGUCCCAAGGUCUUGGUCUCUCACUUAUGCAGUCUAAUGGCCUGGCAGAAUGUCACUGUUUCCCUGCUGUCUGUAUGCUCACUUUUCCUUGCCAGGCAAAUCCAGGAAUGAGGCAAAUGUUGGUGAAGCCUGGGGGGCUUCCUGCAUCACACAAUCUUGGUGCAACCAUGCCUGACAGUCUAGACACUUCCAAAUUCCUCUGAGGACCUCCACAUAGAGACUUAAAAUUAGAUGGAAUCAAUCCAGUCUUUAGUCUUUUAAUUACAGAAAUUAGAGUAAUAUUUACUCUUAUGUUGAGUUUACAUGGGGUUCUUUGAGUUCUUUCCUGUACGCACCUCAAGAUGAUUUUCCUUAUGCAAGAUAUCCAUCCUAAGAUGAGAGAUAUAGGUCUCUGCCUGGAUGUGGCUCAAACUCUCAAUAUUGCUCCUUCAGAUCAUCAAGUGUGCCAUUGCCUAUGCUGAGAAGGGUGGAAAAUUAGCAGUAAGUCAGUAACUGUGGACUGGCAAGAAAUUUAAAGAACCAUUUUACUGAGGUUUUGGAACUUAAACUUCUGGAUCAAUGUGGAAUCAGCACUAGAAAAUCCUUCCCUGUGGCAAAAUCUGCUGGUACAUCUGAUUCCUCUUUUUUCAUUUCCAUGCUGGAAUGAAGAAAAGUGAAACAAAUGAACAAAUUUCAUUUCGAUGCCAAAGUAGCAUCCCUGCAAUGUGGGGAGAAUCUGAAAAAGCAGAAAUCUGGGCUAUAGUGAGGAGAUUCAGACUUCUCUAACACUCAGCUUGAUCAGACUUUUGAGCUGAAAUUCCCCUGUGCUCACUAAUGGUGAAAAACUAAGUGAAUACAAGCCAGGUGACUGAAGUGUAAGUGCUACAUGAAUACAAAAAAACCCAUGCAAACGAAAGUCUUUGAACUUAAAAGUAAAAGAAUACCUAUGUGGUAAAGUUGUUCCUAUUUUUUGUCUCUUUUUUUAAAAAUUCUUUUUUAUACAGCUAUCAAAUAUAUUUGGAAUUCCUGUAAUAAUCAGGGAUUACACAACAAAGGCAUAUACCUAUUUCAAAGACAUCACUGCUACUUUAUCAAUUCAAGCAUGAUGGUUAAAUAUGGGACUAUAGAACUGGUAAUCCAAUGAUUAGUCCUAUUUUUUCCAUUCCAAAGAGUAAUUUAUUAAUGGGAUGGGAAUCUUUGUCUGCAUUUUGAAAUCAAACCUUAAAAAUGUGAAGCAAACUGCUCGUUUUGAUAUUCAUGAUUUGGGAAUUGAAAGCUAUUUGUUCUUUCAGUCUUUUAAAAGUUGAAUUUAAUAUUUUAUUAAAUCUUACAUAUUCAUUCCCUUUUUUGAAGAGUGAACAAACUUCAAAGAAAAAUAACAUAGACAAUCUUAGGUCCAAAAGCUGAAGGAAGUAUGUGCACAAGUAAAAUAUGGGAAAAAAAUUAAGACAUUUAAAUAAUAGAAAAUUCAUCAGCUGUUUCUCUCCUAUAAAAGAAACAGAACUUUACUUACAUUAAGACUAAUUCCCUGCUGUGAUUCUGGAAAUCUUGUUCUUUUCACUGUACUUGGAUGUAAAGCUAUUUAGGAAAGAAACUUACCACUUCACUGUUGCGCAGUAUGACAAUGCUUCUACAAAAAUCACCAUUUCAGUAACUUGUUCCAGGAGAAAUGCAAUGAGCUAAACAUCUUGAGUUACUCAUUUUUACCCCUUCAACCACUAUGACAAGUGUUUCUUGAACCUUACUUUAAAACUCUCUCAUCUUCGCAGGGCACCUGGAAGCUUACCAAAUUCAGGCUAUUUUGAGCUGUGAGUGGGUGGGAGAUAGUCAAAUGAGGAUUGGAUUAUCAAUUUGAUGGAUUAUUGUAAUGGUAGGAAAGAGCCAGCUAAUCCAGCACAACUCUGGCCCUUGGCUGAGGUGAAAAGGCAAAUGUGGCUUUAUCAAAAUAUUGUCAGUGGCAGCAUAGAAGUAGCUGGGCAAAUUAUAAGAAGUGCUGUGCUCAAAUAUAGGAAAGGGACACCAGAAGAAUUAAAGAAAUGGAGUAAAUGCUGGACACUAAUGGAUAAAAUAAAAUAAUACAGAGUGUGUAUCAAUAAGAAAUCUGAGGAAUGAAUUUUAGUGUAACUUCACAGAGUGAAGUGAAAUAUGAGAAAAGAAUGGCAAAAUCAGUGAUCAGAAGCUGAAGCCAAACAAUUCAGAAAGGAGAAGACAUAUUUAAUGGGAAUAAUGAUUCAAUCAAAUUGUUGCAGAGAGUUGUCUAAUUAAAGAGUAACUAAUGCAAAUUUACCAUUAUUGGUCUCUGAAGUAUGAAAGAGCACAUCAACCUACCCAUUGGUCUUCUUUGAAGGUAAACUCUACCAAUAUCCUAAAAAUUAAAUAAAUAUCUCUGCUGUUCUUUUCAAGUCCCUUGUCUCAGAGUUCACAGGAGGCUGAUAAAAUAUCGAAUUUAUUCUUAUUCUGGUUAUUUUUCUAAAUUUUUCAGGACUGAAAAGCUUCGACCCAUAAAUAUGAUGAUUCAUAUUCAGGAUUCAUAAAUGGUGCUCUGCCAAUCAAAGAAACACAGGUGUUACUGCUUGCUACUGCUUCAGAGUCAGUAAACUCAGGAAGACAUCUGUAGUUCUCCUUGCCUUAAUGUGAGGAACAAGGGAAAGAUAUAUACACAUACAUAUGAAGUACAAUAGAUUCAUACAGGUGGCAAUUUAAUACUAAUAGAACAAAUAUAUAUAUAUAGUUAAACUAACUGAAAGAAUUAUGGAAAUCAUUCAGAACUGCAAGCGUUACAGAAAAUAUGCCACUAUAGAAGACACACAAGAUUUUUUAAAAUAACUGGAUAAGGUGAUAAGUGCGAAAAGGAUACCUGCUUACUGUUAGAAAAACAACAGGCUUAUUUUUAGAAGACCUGAAAUGAAGGAUUAAGUCUAGUACAAGAUUUUAUAUCUUAUAGAAGAAAAAGGAGGAAGCAGGCAGUGUUUUUUGGGGGAAGGGAUGCUGUUGUAGAGGCACGCCAAGAAAGAAGGAAACUGUCUUUCCUUAACAGUUGUAGGCAGAAUUUGUACCAGAGCCAUGAUACUAAGGCUGAAUCACUAGAGGAUGUGUUUAAAACAGCUUGGUCUAUUCAAGUUUAGAAGAGCUGAUGAACUGUAGUUUCAGUAAGGAGGAAAAAAAAAAGGCUAAAAAAAAAGAAGAAAAGCAAAACUAUAGCAAGGCUGGGGCAAGAGGGCCAUAUGUUGACUUUCUGAGUAGCCGUUUAUGUGAUAGUAAAGUAAAUCUUCUCUUUUAGAGAACGUAGCAGAUCAGGUACAUGCCGGAUCAAGAAGGGAGGUUUUAAGUGGGAGGUACGUCCACUGGCAGGAACUCACAACUUCUGAACUCACAAACUACAAAGAAACCUGAGGUGACAGAACCAGCAAAGACUGCACCUUGAAGUCAUAUCAUGUGGUGCAUCAAAACAUGCUUCAACCCACAAUCAGAGUACAUUACUGUGUUACCCUUAUCCCAAAGCAACUACCUAACAUUCCAGUUGUGACUCUUGUUCCUGGUCUUGCUGAUUCAUUUGCAAAAUCAUAGUCACAAAAUGAUUAAUUGUUGCUAAUUUUUAAUUCUAAUAAUUGCUACUUAUUUUUGUGCUUAAAAAAAAAAAAAAAGCAAAGCUCUUUUUCCUA